rnacentral:rRNA from 1 species
CCUANGGGGGGCAGCAGUGGGGAAUUUUGGGCAAUGGGCGCAAGCCUGACCCAGCCACGCCGCGUGAGUGAUGAAGGCCUUCGGGUUGUAAAGCUCUGUCGGGAGGAACGAAUAAACUCGGCCAACACCCGAGACUGACGGUACCUCCAAAGGAAGCAACGGCUAACUCUGUGCCAGCAGCCGCGGUAAUACAGAGGUUGCGAGCGUUGUUCGGAAUUAUUGGGCGUAAAGCGCGUGUAGGCGGUCCGUUAUGUCGAAUGUGAAAGCCCUUGGCUUAACCAAGGAAGUGCAUCCGAAACUGGCGGACUUGAGUACCGGAGAGGGUGGCGGAAUUCCCGGUGUAGAGGUGAAAUUCGUAGAGAUCGGGAGGAACACCCGUGGCGAAGGCGGCCACCUGGACGGAUACUGACGCUGAGACGCGAAAGCGUGGGUAGCAAACAGGAUUAGAUACCCCANUANUC